rnacentral:lncRNA from 1 species
GUGGUGGUGCUGCUGAUGUUGGUGGUGGUUCUGAAUCGGCACAUGAAAAGGCGAACUGGGACCGGGAUACACAGGGACCACGCCGUGAGCCGGGGCCAUCGCAAGUCGCGGCGGGGGGAGAUCGGGACGCGGCGGCGCCCGAGGGACGAACUCGGGCGCCUGAGCGUUGAGGCGGCUGAAGGAAGAGUUCCGAGAAAGGGAGGAGGGAUCGGAGGGAGUAGAGAGAUCGCCGGAAGGCAAAUCUAAAUCUAGGGUUUCUUGGGCCAUAGGGUUUGACUGGGGAGGGAUCUAGAAUCUGGAGUAAGGGUGUGUGCAGUGAAGGGAGAGA